rnacentral:rRNA from 1 species
CCUACGGUGGGCAGCAGUGAGGAAUAUUGGUCAAUGGACGAGAGUCUGAACCAGCCAAGUAGCGUGAAGGAUGACUGCCCUAUGGGUUGUAAACUUCUUUUGUACGAGGGUAAAUCCCGAUACGUGUAUCGGGUUGAAAGUAUCGUACGAAUAAGGAUCGGCUAACUCCGUGCCAGCAGCCGCGGUAAUACGGAGGAUUCAAGCGUUAUCCGGAUUUAUUGGGUUUAAAGGGUGCGUAGGCGGUUCGAUAAGUUAGAGGUGAAAUCCUGGGGCUCAACUCCGGCACUGCCUCUGAUACUGUCGGGCUAGAGUUUAGUUGCGGUAGGCGGAAUGUAUGGUGUAGCGGUGAAAUGCAUAGAGAUCAUACAGAACACCGAUUGCGAAGGCAGCUUACCAAACUACGACUGACGUUGAGGCACGAAAGCGUGGGGAGCAAACAGGAUUAGAUACCCGAGUAGUC